GGAAUCUUCCACAAUGGGCGCAAGCCUGAUGGAGCAACACCGCGUGAGUGAAGAAGGGUUUCGGCUCGUAAAGCUCUGUUGUUAGAGAAGAACGUUCUUGAGAGCAACUGUUCACGCAGUGACGGUACCUAACUAGAAAGCCCCGGCUAACUAUGUGCCAGCAGCCGCGGUAAUACAUAGGGGGCAAGCGUUAUCCGGAAUUAUUGGGCGUAAAGCGUGCGUAGGCGGUUUAUUAAGUCUGAUGUUAAAUCCCACAGCUUAACUGUGGGCUGCCAUUGGAAACUGGUAGACUUGAGUGCGGUAGAGGCAAGCGGAAUUCCAAGUGGAGCGGUGGAAUGCGUAGAUAUUUGGAGGAACACCAGUGGCGAAGGCGGCUUACUGGGCCGUUACUGACGCUGAGGCACGAAAGCGUGGGGAGCAAACA
rnacentral:rRNA from 1 species